UUUCAUUAAAUUAAAAAAAAAACAUUCGAACUAGAAAAAAAAAAUACAUUCAACCUAAAAAAUAUAAAAACAAACUACUCCUCGUCCGAAUCAACUUCAAGGUGAGGCAAAUCUAAACUUCCGAGAUGCUCAACGAGAUCGUGUUUUAGCCUCCAAUGCGUGUCUUCGUCAAUGAGCUCCGUAUAGGCUGUAUCAUCGAAGACGGGUUCGACUGGAGGAUCUUGAAUAUGAACCGGUGCUAUCGCCCUUCCGUCGUCUUUUAUAAUCAUGUUGUGUAAAAUAAGGCACGUAUACACGAUGGACCUUAUUUUUUUCACCGUUUUCGAACGCAUUGGACGAUUUAGUAUUCCCCACUUCGACUUUAACACACCAAACGCCCGUUCCACAUCUUUUCUUGCGGCCUCGUGUUGCCUCUUGAAUUUUUUUUCGUUCGGGUCGUGUGGAUAUGGAAAAGACUUCACAAACACGGACCAGGUAGGGUAGAUCCCAUCAGUAAGAUAAUACCCGCGUUUGUAUAAAUGGUUGUUCACUUGAAAUGGACAAUUUGGCGCCGUUCCAUUUCGUUGAGCAAGAAAUAACGGAGAUUGUUGCAGCACGUUGAUAUCGUUUUGUGAACCCGCUGGCCCACAAAAAGCAUGCCAAAUCCACAAAUCUUGAGACGCUACCGCUUCUAACAUAACCGUCGGGUAUUGAUGAUCGCCUCUCAUGUAUUGUCCACGCAAUUCUGUGGGGCACAUUCUCCAGACGAAGUGUGUACAAUCCAGACUCCCUAACAUACCAGGUAGGUGAUGCCUAUCCUCAUGAGCCUGAUACAAUAGCGCGAUGUCGUGGCUCGUUGGUCUACGUAGGAAUUCACCGCCAUACCUUAUAAAAAUAAAAAUUAAAUAAAAGACAUUUCAUUAAAUUAAAAAAAAAAAAACAUUCGA
rnacentral:lncRNA from 1 species